CUACGGAGGGUGCAAGCGUUAAUCGGAAUUACUGGGCGUAACGCGUACGUAGGCGGUUGGUUAAGUUAGAUGUGAAAGCCCCGGGCUUAACCUGGGAACUGCAUUUAAAACUGGCGAACUAGAGUUGAGUAGAGGGGAGUGGAAUUUCAGGUGUAGCGGUGAAAUGCGUAGAGAUCUGAAGGAACACCAGUGGCGAAGGCGACUCCCUGGACUCGAACUGACGCUGAGGUACGAAAGCGUGGGUAGCAAACGGGAUUAGAAACCCUAGUAGUCC
rnacentral:rRNA from 1 species